GAGAAAUACUGGGCAUAAACCAGCCAAUGUCAAGGAGCUAAGACAGUGAGGUUUACAGAUGUCUCUUUUACAACUGGGUGGCCAUCAACCAUCAACUCUACUCGGCAUAUGAAUUCCCUCCCAUUGUCCUCUUCCCGUGUUUUCACCGGAAACGUCAGGAAAGGAGGGCUUCCGAUUGCAAAGUUUUGGUCACUGGCCCCAGAGAGACUGUGCAGAUCAACUUAUGUUCUCCUGCUAAUGAAGAGGACAUCAGAGCCUGGGCACUCACUGUGUCCCCCGACACUCUUCUGCUGAAGUUCCUUCUCUCCCCUGCAAACAAGAGUUCAAACUGGACCUCUUCAGCUGGAAAAACUCCAGAAACAUUACAGUUCACGGUCAUCUUUGUAUUAGUCUCAGCGGAGUGUGGGGUUUCAAGACUAGGAUCCAUUGGAAAAACUGUCAAGACAACAGAUAAAACCAUGACAGUUAUUAAAAUAGCAACCACAGUUGAAAUAAUAUCUCCCUUAAAUAGCGAACUCAGGUGUUCAGUACCUACGCCAACAGAAAUGGAGUCCAAAUUAUGCCUCUGAGAAACAUGGAGGAGAUAUCAAUAUGGCUGGGGGGGAUCUCCAAGGUUUGCAGAAGUAAAACAAAAAUGAAUACCAACCCUUGUAAAAACAAGCCUAAGGAGAUAGAAAUCCCAACAAAGAAUGGCCCAAUUCUCAGUAAAUAUGUAGCCAUGAAAUACUUCUGUGCGCUUGCUACCUCCUUUGAUUGGGGCAAUGGAAAUAAAUUAUAAGUAAAAUCAUGAAAACAA